AUUGAACGCUGGCGGCAGGCCUAACACAUGCAAGUCGAGCGGAUGAUGGGAGCUUGCUCCUGGAUUCAGCGGCGGACGGGUGAGUAAUGCCUAGGAAUCUGCCUGGUAGUGGGGGACAACGUUUCGAAAGGAACGCUAAUACCGCAUACGUCAUACGGGAAAAAGAAGGGGACCUUCGGGCCUUGCGCUAUCAGAUGAGCCUAGGUCGGAUUAGCUUGUUGGUGAGGUAAUGGCUCACCAAGGCGACGAUCCGUAACUGGUCUGAGAGGAUGAUCAGUCACACUGGAACUGUGACACGGUCCAGACUCCUACGGGAGGCAGCAGUGGGGAAUAUUGGACAAUGGGCGAAAGCCUGAUCCAGCCAUGCCGCGUGUGUGAAGAAGGUCUUCGGAUUGUAAAGCACUUUAAGUUGGGAGGAAGGGUUGUAGAUUAAUACUCUGCAAUUUUGACGUUACCGACAGAAUAAGCACCGGCUAACUCUGUGCCAGCCGCCGCGGUAAGAC
rnacentral:rRNA from 1 species